rnacentral:lncRNA from 1 species
UUGGGAUUGGGGGAUGUGGGUGCGGGAUUUGGGAUUGGGGGAUGUGGGUGCGGGGUGCGGGAUUUGGGAUUGGGGGAUGUGGGUGCGGGGUGCGGGAUUUGGGAUUGGGGGAUGUGGGUGCGGGGUGCGGGAUUGGGGGAUGUGGGUGCGGGGUGCGGGGUUUGGGAUUGGGGGAUGUGGGUGCGGGAUUUGGGAUUGGGGGAUGUGGGUGCGGGGUGCGGGAUUUGGGAUUGGGGGAUGUGGGUGCAGGGUGCGGGAUUUGGGAUUGGGGGAUGUGGGUGCGGGGUGCGGGAUUUGGGAUGUGGAAUGCGGGAUUUGGGAUGUGAGGUGCGGGAUUGGGGGAUGUGGGUGCAGGGUGCGGGAUGGGGAUGUGGGAUGUGGAGUGCACGGUGCGGGAUGCGAGGUGCUGGCUGAUAUAGGUACAGUCGGGAUGCUGGAAAGGCUUGGUCCAAAGGGCCUGGUCAGUUUUAAUGCUAAUAUUAACCUGGUGUGGUUUAAACUGCUGUUUUAACAGGAUUUUCUUAUACUCCAGCAAAGAAAAAAUUAAAUUUCCAACAGUUCAGUAGUCGUACUUUCCAUGCUCGCUGUCUUCUGGAGCUGUGCUCCUUCCCACCACGGUGCCCAUGCUGGGGCAGGCUGUGUAUUCCUGCUGCCUAUGUCCAUGUUGGCUGUGCUGUCUGUGCAGCUGGACAUAAACAGAUCAGGCACCAGGAACAGCGCAGCUUUCUGCCACCCCCUUUCAAUUCUGUCAAAAUUAUUGUUAAUAUUUUGCUUUCACUGCCUCACAGUUGAGAAUGGGAUUGCUUUUUUCUUGGCUUACUCUUAUCAUUGUCUACCUUUACAUUCCCAUAUAAGAAGUUCAAAUUUCGAUUUGCUCCAUCCUUUUCGAUUUGAAGACUCUUCUUGUCUGAAAGAAUGCCUCCUGAAGCCUGUAUUUGCUCCGAAGCUUGUGCAGUCAGAAUCAGUUACUGCCAAGUUACCAGUAAAGCUGCUGUUGCAUUUAGGUGACAAAGCUAAACUCUAUGGAUCUGAAGCUGUUCAGAUUACAGCUAGAAACUCAAAUCCACUGCCACUGCUAUAUGAGGACUGUUUUCUACCUUUCAGAUUGUUUGGAUUACUAUUAACAGAAUUUUCUACAUUUUUAAAUCAUAUUCUUUAUCAGACUACUACAAUAUGA